rnacentral:rRNA from 1 species
AGUGAACGCUGGCGGCGUGCUUAACACAUGCAAGUCGAACGAGAACGGAUUAUAGCUUGCUAUAAUUGUCAGCUAAGUGGCGCACGGGUGAGUAAUGUAUAGGUAAUAUGCCUCCUACUAAGGGAUAACAAAUGGAAACGUUUGCUAAUACCUUAUACUCCUUAUUAACAGAAGUUAAUAAGGUAAAGAUUUAUUGGUAAGAGAUUAGCCUGUAUUGUAUCAGUUAGUUGGUGGGGUAAUGGCUUACCAAGACUAUGACACAUAACUGGUUUGAGAGGAUGAUCAGUCACACUGGAACUGAGACACGGUCCAGACGCCGACGGGAGGCAGCAGUGGGGAAUAUUGCACAAUGGACGAAAGUCUGAUGCAGCAACGCCGCGUGGAGGAUGACACAUUUCGGUGCGUAAACUCCUUUUAUAUGGGAAGAUAAUGACGGUAUUAUAUGAAUAAGCACCGGCUAACUCCGUGCCAGCAGCCGCCGUAAAAC